AUGCAUUGGCGAUGGGAGAAGUGUCCUCUUGCAUGGAGGGGGCAAUUCACCCGCGGCGAUUAUGGAGUACCAACGAUGAUCCUAGAAGCCGUUGCUUCCCAGGACCUUCGUAUUUGGCAUGCUUUUUUUGGAGUUGCUGGGUCAAAUAAUGAUCUGAAUGUGCUCAAUCAAUCCCCACUGUUUUUUGAUGCACUGAAAGGAGAAGCCCCUCAAGUCCAAUUUUCUGUCAAUGGGAAUGAGUAUACCACAGGUUACUACCUUGCUGAUGGUAUAUACCCAGAAUGGGCUGCCUUCAUGAAGACUAUACCACUUCCCCAAAUAGAGAAGCACAAGUUGUUUGCCCAGAAGCAAGAAGGGGCAAGGAAAGAUGUCGAGCGCGCUUUUGGGGUAUUACAGUUCCGUUUUACCAUUGUCCGUCGGCCUGCACGUCUAUGGAAGAGAAAGAGUGUUGGAAGGAUCAUGAGGGCUUGUGUGAUUCUCCACAAUAUGAUAAUCGAAGAUGAGACAGAGCAGGCAAAAAUUCAUAUUGACUUGAAUGAGAUUCCGGGGGCUUCAUUUGCUCUACCUCCCGAAGUGAAUGUUGGUGGUAAUCUAUGUUUCGCAGAUGUGUUGCGUAGAAAAGCUACUAUUCGUGCUCGUCCACAGCAUGCCCAACUUAAAAGUGAUUUAGUCGAGCAUAUCUGGCAUAAGUUUCAAAACAGCCAUCAUAAUUAA
rnacentral:rRNA from 1 species